UGUGGUUUUUAGGGUGAAAGGUGACCAAUUCUUGAAAGUUGUCGUUAAAGGAGGGGUCCGCGUACCAUUAGCUAGUUGGUGGGGUAAUGGCCUACCAAGGUUACGAUGGUUAGCUGGUCUGAGAGGAUGAUCAGCCACACUGGAACUGAAACACGGUCCAGACUCCUACGGGAGGCAGCAGUGAGGAAUUUUGCGCAAUGGGGGAAACCCUGACGCAGCAACGCCGCGUGAGUGAAGAAGGUUUUCGGAUCGUAAAGCUCUGUCAAGUGGGAAAAAUGUUUUACUAUAAAUAGUAGUAGAAUUUGAUGGUACCACUAGAGGAAGCACCGGCUAACUCCGUGCCAGCAGCCGCGGUAAUACGGAGGNUGCAAGCGUUGGUUCGGAAUUACUGGGCGUAAGAGCGUGUAGGCGGUAUGGUAAGUCAGAUGUGAAAGCCCUGGNCUNACCCAAGGA
rnacentral:rRNA from 1 species